AGGAAACAUAGUCAUUCCAUGACAGCUUUGAGACGAAACGUUCUGAAGAAAAAUUUCACCUUUUCGACAUGUUCCGGUCAAUACCGCCAAUGUUUUGUAUACAAAUUUAACAGCUUACAUUUCUUAAGCUCCUUGGGUGGAUCUGGUCAGAAUCGAAGACACAUUAAAAGGUUUCACACGAGGAGCCUUCGAUUUUUUACGUUCUCAUUUGCCAUUUGGAAAUUUCAGGGCUUGCUUCCAAGGGAAAUUAAGGUGAAUAUUUUUUGGGUGCUUAUGCUUGAGCUCCAUACGAGCUCUCUUUGGUUGGUUUCUUUGUGGGUUUUGUGUUGCAGGUGAUUUGGUUCAAUAUUUUGGCAGCUUUGGGGAAGAAAACUUCUGGGUUUUCUUAAAUUCUUUCUGUUGUAUUCAGAGUUCAACUUCUCAUCAGAAAAACUUUCGUGGGUAUGUGAAGAUUUUCUUAUAUAUGGUGGAAAUUGGGAUAUAAUAGGUGUCUUCUUAAGGAAAAUUGAAUUGGGUUGGUGCCAAAUCGUGAAGGUUAGAAGCUUUUGUGUGGUUUUGCGUGAUGAUGCUGUUCUAGGGUUUUGGUUAUGAGAGGUUUAGUCAUUGAUGAAAUGAGAAGGAUAUUAAACGUUUGGAAUGACAAUUCAACAACAAAUAGGUCUUAUGAGGACAAGCCGUUUCAUUGUUUUGGUUAUUCUGCUAUGUGCUUCAACAUCAAUAAGCUCAGAGGAGAGGAAAAUCACAGAGGAAGUGUUUCUCAGUCAACUUGUUGAUCCAGCAACUGGAAAGAUUGAUGGAGACAUGGCACAGCUGUUAUGGAUAAGUUGCAAGGUGGAUUUGGCCCAUUUGAC